CUACGGGACGCUGCAGCGAGGAAUAUUGCACAAUGGGGGGAACCCUGAUGCAGCAACGCCGCGUGGAGGAUGACGCAUUUCGGUGUGUAAACUCCUUUUAUAUGUCAAGAAAAUGACGGUAGCAUAUGAAUAAGCACCGGCUAACUCCGUGCCAGCAGCCGCGGUAAUACGGAGGGUGCAAGCGUUACUCGGAAUCACUGGGCGUAAAGGACGCGUAGGCGGGUUGGAAAGUCAGGUGUGAAAUCCUACAGCUUAACUGUAGAACUGCACUUGAAACUUCUAAUAUAGAGUAUGGGAGGGGGAGAUGGAAUUAGUGGUGUAGGGGUAAAAUCCGUAGAUAUCACUAGGAAUACCCAAAGCGAAGGCGAUCUCCUGGAACAUUACUGACGCUAAGGCGUGAAAGCGUGGGGAGCAAACAGGAUUAGAUACCCGUGUAGUC
rnacentral:rRNA from 1 species